rnacentral:rRNA from 1 species
CCUACGGGGGGCAGCAGUGGGGAAUAUUGGACAAUGGGGGCAACCCUGAUCCAGCCAUGCCGCGUGUGUGAAGAAGGCCCUCGGGUUGUAAAGCACUUUCAGUGAGGAAGAACGCCUGGUGGUUAAUACCCAUCAGGAAAGACAUCACUCACAGAAGAAGCACCGGCUAACUCCGUGCCAGCAGCCGCGGUAAUACGGAGGGUGCGAGCGUUAAUCGGAAUUACUGGGCGUAAAGCGCGCGUAGGUGGCUUGAUAAGCCGGUUGUGAAAGCCCCGGGCUCAACUUGGGAACGGCAUCCGGAACUGUCAAGCUAGAGUGCAGGAGAGGAAGGUAGAAUUCCCGGUGUAGCGGUGAAAUGCGUAGAGAUCGGGAGGAAUACCAGUGGCGAAGGCGGCCUUCUGGACUGACACUGACACUGAGGUGCGAAAGCGUGGGUAGCAAACAGGAUUAGAUACCCGAGUAGUC